rnacentral:rRNA from 3 species
GUGAAGAUGCAGUGUACCCGCGGCAAGACGGAAAGACCCCGUGAACCUUUACUAUAGCUUGACACUGAACAUUGAGCCUUGAUGUGUAGGAUAGGUGGGAGGCUUUGAAGCGUGGACGCCAGUCUGCGUGGAGCCGACCUUGAAAUACCACCCUUUAAUGUUUGAUGUUCUAACGUGGACCCGUGAUCCGGGUUGCGGACAGUGUCUGGUGGGUAGUUUGACUGGGGCGGUCUCCUCCUAAAGAGUAACGGAGGA